rnacentral:rRNA from 1 species
CAUAAUAACUUUACGGAUCACAUUUUUUAUGUGACAUAUCAUUCAAGUUUCUGACCUAUCAGCUUUAGACGGUAGGGUAUUGGCCUACCGUGGCUAUGACGGGUAACGGGGAAUUAGGGUUCGAUUCCGGAGAGGGAGCCUGAGAAACGGCUACCACAUCUAAGGAAGGCAGCAGGCGCGCAAAUUACCCAAUCCUAAUACAGGGAGGUAGUGACAAGAAAUAACAAUACAGGACUUUUUAAUAGUUUUGUAAUUGGAAUGAGUUAAGUAUAAACCCCUUUACAAGUAUCAAUUGGAGGGCAAGUCUGGUGCCAGCAGCCGCGGUAAUUCCAGCUCCAAUAGCGUAUAUUAAAGUUGUUGCAGUUAAAAAGCUCGUAGUUGGAUUUCUGUUAAUAAUUUAUAUAGAAUAUUUCAGUAUAUUUAUAUAAUAUUAACAUAAUUCAUAUUACUAUAUUUACGUCUAGUAUAUGAAAUUUUACUUUGAGAAAAUUAGAGUGCUUAAAGCAGGCUUUUGCCUUGAAUACUUCAGCAUGGAAUAAUAUUAAAGAUUUUUAUCUUUCUUAUUGGUUCUAAGAUAGAAAUAAUGAUUAAUAGGGACAGUUGGGGGCAUUUGUAUUUAACAGUUAGAGGUGAAAUUCUUAGAUUUGUUAAAGACAAACUAGUGCGAAAGCAUUUGCCAAGGAUGUUUUCAUUAAUCAAGAACGAAAGUUAGGGGAUCGAAGACGAUCAGAUACCGUCGUAGUCUUAACCAUAAACUAUGCCAACUAGAGA